rnacentral:rRNA from 1 species
GAUGAACGCUGGCGGCGUGCCUAACACAUGCAAGUCGAGCGAAGCACUUACUUUAGAUUUCUUCGGAAUGACGAAGUUUGUGACUGAGCGGCGGACGGGUGAGUAACGCGUGGGCAACCUGCCCUGUACAGGGGGAUAACAGUUAGAAAUGACUGCUAAUACCGCAUAAGCCCACAGCUUCGCAUGAAGCAGUGGGAAAAACUCCGGUGGUACAGGAUGGGCCCGCGUCUGAUUAGCUAGUUGGUAAGGUAACGGCUUACCAAGGCGACGAUCAGUAGCCGACCUGAGAGGGUGACCGGCCACAUUGGGACUGAGACACGGCCCAAACUCCUACGGGAGGCAGCAGUGGGGAAUACUGCACAAUGGGGGAAACCCUGAUGCAGCGACGCCGCGUGAGCGAUGAAGUAUUUCGGUAUGUAAAGCUCUAUCAGCAGGGAAGAAAGUGACGGUACCUGACUAAGAAGCCCCGGCUAACUACGUG